AAACAAAGCAUUGCGAUGGACCUAGCGGUUGUUGACGCAAUGUGAUUUCUGCCCAGUGCUCUGAAUGUCAACGUGAAGAAAUUCAAGCAAGCGCGGGUAAACGGCGGGAGUAACUAUGACUCUCUUAAGGUAGCCAAAUGCCUCGUCAUCUAACUAGUGACGCGCA
rnacentral:ncRNA from 1 species